UAAUAUAUCGGAACGUACCCUGGAGUGGGGGAUAACGUAGCGAAAGUUACGCUAAUACCGCAUACGAUCUAAGGAUGAAAGUGGGGGAUCCGCAAGGACCUCAUGCUCCUGGAGCGGCCGAUAUCUGAUUAGCUAGUUGGUGGGGUAAAGGCCUACCAAGGCAUCGAUCAGUAGCUGGUCUGAGAGGACGACCAGCCACACUGGGACUGAGACACGGCCCAG
rnacentral:rRNA from 1 species